rnacentral:tRNA from 1 species
GGUGGCUCAGUGGUAGAGCGCUUGCCUUGCAAGCAUGAGGCCCUGUGUUCGAUUGCUCAGCACCA